UGAGGAACAUGACCUUCGGCGGGGGAUAGCCGGCCCAACGGCCGGGUAAUACCGCGUACGACCACUUUGGGACAUCCCUCGGUGGUGAAAGCAGCAAUGCGCCGAUGGAGUGCCUCGCGGCCUAUCAGCUAGUUGGUGAGGUAACGGCUCACCAAGGCGACGGACGGGUAGCUGGUCUGAGAGGGUGGCCAGCCACAGUUGGGACUGAGACACGGCCCAGACCUCCGUACGGGAG
rnacentral:rRNA from 1 species